CCUACGGGCGGCAGCAGUAAGGAAUAUUGGUCAAUGGGCGAAAGCCUGAACCAGCAAAGUCGCGUGAAGGAUGAAGGAUCUAUGGUUUGUAAACUUCUUUUAUAUAGGAAUAAAGUGAGGAACGUGUUCCUUUUUGUAUGUACCAUAUGAAUAAGCAUAGGCAAACUCCGUUCCAGCCGCCGCGGUAAUACGGAGGAUGCGAGCUUUUGCCGGAUUUAUUGGGUUUAAAGGGAGCGUAGGCGGUUAAUUAAGUCAGCGGUGAAAGUUUGUGGUUCAACCAUAAAAGUGCCGUUGAAACUGGUUGAAUUGAGUAUAUUCGAGGUAGGCGGAAGUCGUGGUGUAGCGGUGAAAUGCAUAGAUAUCACGCAGAACUCCGAUGGCGAAGGCAGCUUACUAAACUAUAACUGACACUGAGGUACGAAAGCGUGGGGAUCAAACAGGAUUAGAUACCCGAGUAGUC
rnacentral:rRNA from 1 species